UACAGAGGGUGCGAGCGUUAAUCGGAUUUACUGGGCGUAAAGGGUGCGUAGGUGGUUGCGUAAGUGAGAUGUGAAAUCCCCGGGCUUAACCUGGGAACUGCGUCUUAUACUGCGUAGCUGGAGUACAUGAGAGGGUAGUGGAAUUUCCCGGUGUAGCGGUGAAAUGCGUAGAUAUCGGAAGGAACACCUGUGGCGAAAGCGGCUCACUGGACCAUUACUGACGCUGAUGCACGAAAGCUAGGGGAGCAAACAGG
rnacentral:rRNA from 1 species